AUUUGAUGAUGGGGGCAAUUGGCACACAACUUCUUGAAACGCUCCUAGUAUUCAUGUAAAGACUCUCUGUUGUCCUAUUUUACACCACAAAUCUCCUUCUGAAUGU
rnacentral:snoRNA from 1 species